GUGGCGUCUGCAUUCGAGAUGAGGGAUGAAUUGUGUAGGUGUGCGAUGUGAGUUCGCGGGGUUAUUUUGUGCCGGUAUUUCCAGUUUAUAUAUUUUACUGUACUUAAAAUAGAAAUUUAAAAUGUGUUUUAAAGUGUUUUGCUGCGGUUAUUUAGUUUCUGCUUCGUCCGUUUGAUAAUUUUUACCAAUUCUUUAGUUAAGGUAUUGGCCUAUUGCUUUGGGGAUCCAGAAUCAAAUCUAGGCAAGCAACUCUAAAAAUUCUUUAUGGGCAGUCCAUUUCAGUUAUGUUGGGCUUCAUCCCUCACCACUUAGCUGCCUCUGUUGUGUGCCUGGCCAAACCAACAGUGGGUAAGGAAAAAGGCUUUCUUAGUGUCUACAGGGGAUAUUCCCAAAAAAGUUCAUUUCUGAAUGUAUUAAACGUGGAACAACAAUGACUGAACUCCAAAAGUGCAAGUAU